GUGCCAGCCGCCGCGGUAAUACGUAGGGAGCGAGCGUUAUCCGGAAUUAUUGGGCGUAAAGGGUGCGCAGGCGGCUUUGUAAGUCAAAUGUGAAAGUCCACGGCUUAACCGUGGAGGGUCAUUUGAAACUGCAAGGCUAGAGUACGGUAGAGGUAAGUGGAAUGCGAUGUGUAGCGGUAAAAUGCGUAGAUAUAUCGCGGAACACCAGUGGCGAAGGCGGCUUACUGGACCGGAACUGACGCUGAGGCACGAAAGCGUGGGUAGCGAACAGGAUUAGAAACCCGAGUAGUCCG
rnacentral:rRNA from 1 species